AAACCACCUCUUUCAGAAUCCAACCUAAGAAUGUCAGGCAGAGUUUAUUUUGGCUGACUCAUGGUAAACAGAUCUUAUAUAGAGAGGGUGGGACUCAUGUAUCACUUCAGAAAAUGCUUUUAAGUUUAGUCUUAUAUAUUUUACAGAGAAGGAAAAGAGAGAAAUAACUUCAUGAAGGAUAACACCCAAGAAAGCAAAUGAUCAAGGCAGCUUUAUAGCAACACACAAAUCUGCCCAACAGUAGUGUUUACUAGUGGUUUGUUAGUGUUAAAAAGCCAUGGAGGCUACUGGACCAUAGAGGGGCUGGAGAAAGUCAGAUUGCUUUUUGUUAUUGUUUUAUUUUAUUUUAACAUUUCCCUUUUGAAUUCAGGCAGUCUCAUUUUAGAUUUUUCCUGCUGCUAAGACCACUAGUGUUCUGUGGUACAUUCAACCUUACUGAUCUCCAGGCGACUAGACUUGUCAGGAUCAGAGUGGAAACUGGAUAUUUUACAACCAAUUAUCUGGUCCACUUGCCUACCUCUGGUUAUCCCAGUUUCUCCACCUAAAUUCGUUACUGAUAAUUUCCUCAGUAUGCAGCCUGCCAUGAUUCACAGACAGGUACAACAACUGCUUCUGACUCAGUAUUAAAUUCAAGUCCUUUCUCUUCUUCAGGAAUGUUAAUAUUUGACGAUAUACAAAUUUAUUUAUCUGAGGUAGAAUGGGCUAUGCUAACCCAUGGAAGAAGACACUCUACAGUGUUGUAAUGCUGGCCAUCUACAAGCUAACCACCUGACUAGUUUAACUGGUUAACUAUAACUCCUUUCCUUUGUGUAUACAUUGUGUAACCUGGACUGUAACAGUGAAAAAUAUACUCUGGGAGAUAUUGCCUUUUGGAUUAUAAUUGAUUUAGAUUGCUUCUUCACUGUUGAAUCAGGAACUGCUACAGAAAAAUAAAAUAUUUUCUAUGUUAUUUUUUGUUUUGGGGUUGUUUGUUUUCUUUGUUUUUUUAACAUACAAUUUCUCUGCAUAACCCUGGCUUUCCUCAAGAUCAAUCUGUACAGCAGGUUUACCACAAACUCACCUGCCUUUGUGUCCCAAGUUCUGGGUUUAAAACACACACCACCACCAUCCAGCUCAGCGUGAAAGUUCUUAAUUUUAGUGAGGAUCAAUUAUUUCUCUUAGAAUGAAUAUUUCUUCCAUGAAAUCUAGCACUCUUAACUCUCUUAAUCAUACAUAUACUCCAAUUUUCCUAAAUUUUUUUUGUUCUUACCUGCCCUUGUGAAUUAUUUUACAUACAGUAUGAAGUUGAGAUUGAGUGUGAGGCUGACUCUUUUACCUAUUAUGUGUCACUGCUCUCGGGUGAAACAAAACAUACAGCACAAAUUAUAUAUAUGCAUAAUUUUAUAAAACUAUGGUGUAUAUAUUAUAUAUAAUUUAUUUUAUAUGUAAUAUAUUUUAUCAUUUAUAAUAUUUUGUUAUAUAAUAUACUGUAAAUGUAGUUUAAAUAUACUUUAAAGUGAAUUACAGGGUGUGAUCCAACAAUAGCUGUCUACCAACUGAUAUUCUAAGAACCUCAUAGUUAUUCAGUCAAUGAGGUGGAUUGUCUCAGGUAGUCUCCAGUGUAUUAUGGAAUACUGAAAAUGGCCUGUAUUGACAGUGAAGAAAUGGGCUUCCCAAUGAGGGCAAACAGGCAAAGAAAACAAACUUUCUUCUUCCAUGUCUUUCAUAUAGGUUGCAGAACAUUUAUAUAAGUGUGUGCCAGGUUUAAAGUGACUUUUCCCACUUGAAAGAUUCAGAUUCAAAAUGGAUCUUGCCAUCUCAAAUUACUAAGAAAAAAAUCCAUUAAUGUCUUGCCCAGUCAUUUGGAUUUUAGUUAAUUUUUGAUGCAGUAAAGUUCAAACCCAAGAACACUCAUCACAUUGUCCAAUUUGCUCCCCAUCAUUUAUUGACAUUCAUAGCCUUCCUUCAUUGAAUUGCUUGUGUGUUUUGUUAAAAGUUACUUGGCAAUUUGUAUACAUAUGUCCAGACUGAGCUGAUUGACUUUUUGUUGUUAUUAUUUAACUCUUAAACAAUUAUAGAUAAGCCCUCAUAUCUAUUAUACAAUAUUUUUCUAUUUUAUUCAUUCUUGUUAUUCUUUGCAUUGUGAAGAAAGAGAUGGCUCAAUUCUUAAACAGUACAUGUUACACUUCCCGUUCUGUUUAUAGCACCAAAUAUAGUUUAACAAAAAAACUGUCUAAUGUCAGGCAGUGUGGGAACAGGUCUUCAAUCCCAGCAUUUGGGGGCUGGGGGCAUAGGCAGGCGAAUUUCUGAGUUUGAGGCCACCUUGGUCUACAGAGUGAGUUUUUGGAAAGCCAGGGGUAAACAAACAAACUUUGUCUAGAAAACAAAACAAAACAAUACAAAACAAAACAAAAGAACAAAAAAAAAAAAACAAGAAUAAAAACCUACUUGUGUCUCUAAGUCUUCUGGUCUCUUUGGAUUCUGAAUACAUAUCACACACACACACACACACACACAUGCAUCCUCACACACAGAAAAACACCGUUCAGAUUUUAAAAUACAUUAUCUGACUCACUAAGAAAUAAAACUACAUCUGUGUUCCUCUUGCCAGAAAACCUUUAAUCAUAAUACAAAUUUAGUUGAACAUGAAUGAUUUUAUACAGGAGAGAAUCCUGUUUAACUGUAUUGAAUGUGGGAGACCAUUCCUUCAAAAAUGUCACCUCAUUAAGCACCAGCUGACCCACAUUGCUGACCAUCCCUAUACAUGUAACCUGUGUGAGAAAAUGUUUAACACAUGAUCAAGGCUUCUCAGACACCAGAAUGUACUUAGUCAGAAAACUCAGACAGAAUGGCCAAGCUAAGGAAAAUUAGCAUAUUGCAGGGACAGAAUGUAAAGAAGGUUUAAAAUCUAGAAAAUUUGGGAGAGUUAUGUUUCAUAUCAUAAAAAAAGAUACAAUAGAAUUCUACGUUGUUUCCCACUGUCUUUCAUUAUCUGUGUUAUCCACACAUUUUUUUUGUAUUAGUAAUAAAAGAAAUGAGUAUUUGUUUG
rnacentral:lncRNA from 1 species